UAUGUAAUAUUUCUAGCAUUUUUCUUAAUUAUACAUGUAUACUAUAUUACAGAAAUAUCAAAUUCAGAUAGUUUAAAGUGUCACAUACACACACCCACAAACACUAACCUUUCAGUUUUCAAUAACAGAAGUUCCUACAAACCCCAGCAGAAAUGGCAAAACCUUGAUACAGGAUAGAUUAAGUUAAAACAAUUUUUGGUUACAUGUUUGCAAUAUACUCCUUAGUUAACAGAAAAAUGAGAAAAGAGAUGAAAAACAAUACCAUUAUUACCUAAUACCAACUAAAACAUUUAAAUGAAACUUCACAGGGAAAAUAAAGUAUAUAGGCGAAAAUAAUAUAAUAUUCUUCCCAAAGCACUAGGGAACCUUUUAAAGGUACAUAUAGAGCAUGCUCUAGUGGAAUAGUGUGAUAACCACGUUUAUACAAAAGCUUAUAGCAUAUAAAGAAAAGUCAAACAAGGGAAUGGAAAAGUAUGAAAGUUGUUAUUAAGAUGCAAAUUUUUUGAAAACACGGACAAACUAAAUGCAUUUUUUAGGUAACAAUUUCAUGUUUAUUCAUUACCUUAAUUAAAUGUUUAUUCAUUAAGCUUAAGCUAAUAGUACUCAUAUAUAGAAUUUUGGAGGUCAAAGUAUUACAUAAAUAGAUUUUUAUAUUUGCAUACUUUAUAAGAUAUAAUAAUCAUAACAAAGAUA
rnacentral:misc_RNA from 1 species